rnacentral:rRNA from 1 species
CCCGUCCAGCCAUGCGAACUUUCAGACUUGAGUGCAGGAGAGGGAAGUGGAAUUCCUAGUGUAGCGGUGAAAUGCGUAGAUAUUAGGAGGAACAUCAGUGGCGAAGGCGACUUCCUGGACUGUAACUGACACUGAGGUACGAAAGCGUGGGUAGCAAACAGGAUUAGAUACCCUGGUAGUCCACGCCGUAAACGAUGAGCACUAGGUGUCGGGGUCGCAAGACUUCGGUGCCGCAGUUAACGCAUUAAGUGCUCCGCCUGGGGAGUACGUGCGCAAGCAUGAAACUCAAAGGAAUUGACGGGGACCCGCACAAGCAGCGGAGCAUGUGGUUUAAUUCGAAGCAACGCGAAGAACCUUACCAGGGCUUGACAUCCCUCUGACCGACCGGUAACGCGGUCUUCUCUUCGGAGCAGAGGUGACAGGUGGUGCAUGGUUGUCGUCAGCUCGUGUCGUGAGAUGUUGGGUUAAGUCCCGCAACGAGCGCAACCCUUGUCGUUAGUUGCCAUCAUUGAGUUGGGCACUCUAAUGAGACUGCCGGGGAUAACUCGGAGGAAGGUGGGGAUGACGUCAAAUCAUCAUGCCCCUUAUGUUCUGGGCUACACACGUGCUACAAUGGCCGGUACAGAGAGAUGCAAUACCGUGAGGUGGAGCCAAACUCAAAAACCGGUCCCAGUUCGGAUUGCGGGCUGCAACUCGCCUGCAUGAAGUAGGAGUUGCUAGUAAUCGCGAAUCAGAACGUCGCGGUGAAUGCGUUCCCGGGUCUUGUACACACCGCCCGUCACACCAUGGAAGUUGGGGGCGCCCGAAGUUGGUCACAAAAUCGAUUACCUAAGGCGAAACCGAUAACUAGGGUGAAGUCGUAACAAGGUAGCCGUA